GAACCUUCACAAGGUUCUGUGAUGACAGUCAGUCUAAGGAUGAUUGUGUUCACCAAAGAUCACGUGUGGCUUCAUUCAGCAGCCCUAAAGAGCCAACCCCCGUAGCUGUUUUACCUCCACCCGCCAGUCCGUUGUUGGGUGGUCCACUUUUUGUGUUACUAAUUCUCGUUCACUAAAGUUGACAACAUUACCGUAAAGAGAAAAAGCGCCUGGCGGCUAAACAGCGGAAUGACGCCUGGGAAGGUCUGGCCUGAAGGGAACCCCUUACCUCCCUCCACUGUGGAGGGGGGGGGGCUACACUCACCCCGCCUCCCUCUCCCUGACCCCGCCCCCCCCCCCCCCCCCUACAGAGGGCAGCUGUUCUGAAGCCCAGCUGGACUGAACAGAAGACCGCUGGAGCCUCUUUCCUAAAAGCGUCGAAGAGGUUCCGUUCAUAGCUUUAACCGAACCUUUCGGGAAACCGGGUCGUGGCAGAACUGAGCCCAAGCCGAGAGGAGGUGUUGUCUGAAGCUUCUUCUUGUCAUCUUCUUCGUCAUCUUCUUCGUCAUCCCUGACCUAAUGAACAGGGUUGGGAGAUUAGGGCGUAUACAUUCUCCCAAAAGCUGAGUUCCAGUUGCAUUUCAGUUCCAGACAAUUGAGAAUGCGAACCAGAAUCCAUAUUCUGAUUGUUCCUUGCUUAAUAGGAGUGAGGAAAUGUGGAUUCCGGGUGAACUUUGGAUUUGUCUCUAACUGAAAUGUUUGUGCCCGCUCAAAUCCUAUUUUUUUUUGUUUGUUUUUUGUGUUGUUUUAUUACCAGUUGAUAGGGAGGUGCACAUUUUUACCUAUUUAUGUUACUUUCAUUUGUCUUAUUAAAAUAAUCGUAAUUAGGAAUGUUGUCUUUUAUCUUCCUCCAGCAUCUGGUCAUUUUACGGCACUGUUUUCUGUUCAGGGGCAAUGCAUCUCAGGAUCUGUGAUCUUAAAGUUCAAACUGAUCCUAGAUCUGCAAUCUCACUGUCAGAUCGAUGGCACAUUUUGCUCUCUCGCAGCUUCAGAAUGAGGAUUGAGGGUCUACAUACCAAAUACCAGUCUGAAGAUGUUUCAACCUUAAGUAUGUGAACGUUUUUAUUUUUUAUUUUUUUAUGGUUCGGUGAACA
ensembl:lncRNA